GUAAAUAUAUUUUAUUUAGAAUAUUUAGUUUGCAUCUAAAAGGAGAAGUCUAUUUAC
rnacentral:tRNA from 1 species